CCGGGGCCGCACUGCGCGUGCUCGGGCGCGUGGUGGCGGUGAGGUGGUGGGCGGGAGCAGCGCGCGCCUGUCUGAGGCGAUUGGGGGGUGAGCGCGCGCUGGGAGCUGCGUGAUUAAAGAAUUGCGGAAUUAGUUCGGUUGGAAAAGACCUCUGAGAUCAUCGAAUCCAACCCAUCACCGAACACCACCGUGUCAACCAGACUGUGACACUAAGUGCUACGUCCAGCCUUAAACACCUCCAGGGGCGUUGACUCUACCUCCUCCAUGGGCAGCCCGGUGUCUAAUCAUUCCUUCGGUGAAGAAAUUCCUCUUAAUGUCCAACUUGAACCUCUCGGCACAGGUUAAAACUACGUUUUCUCGUCCUGUCACUGAUAGACCUCGCCUGGAUACACCCUCCUUACAGAGAGUUGUAGACAGCAGUAAGGUCUCCCCAGAGAGAGGAGAUGCUCCCCUCCUCAAGGCUGAGUACCAGCAGCUCCCUCAGCUGCUCCUCAUAGGAUUUGUGUUCCAGACCCUUCACCAGUUCCGUCGGUCCUUUGUCUGGACUCACUCCAACACCUCAGAGUCCCAGAGCUGGACACAGCACCCAAGGUGUGGCCUCACCUGUGCCGAGUACAGGUGAAGAAUCACUUCCCUGGAUUCUCUUCCAUCCCUUCUCUCCCGUGGUUGUCAGUCAUGAGUGAAGGAAGCAGGUGCAGCUCAGGGGUUACAGACUGAGGAUGAACAUCUGCUCGCUGUGCUAGCAAAACAGUGUGAAAGAAUGCAGGACUUUUGUGACAAGGAAGGAGUAAUAAUCCAAACACAGGAGGAAAGGAGGCAAGAAUGCCAGGAGACUGAGAUAAAAGGGUUGGUCAGACCCCAAAACUGGCCAGGACUAGCCUUGUGGCUUGUGACCAUGACCAAGGGGCCAGGGAGCAUGUGUGAAGAGGAAAGUGCUUUUAGUGCUUCCCCCCUCACCCCAGGCAUUGAAAACCCCAAAGAUACAAACCUUCAAUAUGAUUUGGUCUGUGAAUUCCUCCACAGUUACUUUCGCUCUCUUGAGGCAAUACAGAGUCAGAACAGGAGUAACUCUCGUUAUUUAUUCCUUUGACUGGAAUGUAGUUGAUGCCUGUUGAAAUAGUAUAGGAAUAGGAUAAAGUGUUUUGUCUCAGCUUCCUGUAGGCUGUGAGUUGAACUCACAUUAUUGCCUCUGAUACUACUUGCUGGGUUUAUUUUCAAUUAAUUAGUCUAAUUGUUGCUUUAUCACAUUUUGCUUUUGACAUUCAAAUAUUUUGUGGGAAUGUUUAAAUUUGUUGUAUAACAUUCCAUUAAAACAAAAACAAAACCAAAAACAAUAAACCAGUUUCCAUACUGUU